AAAUCUGUGUUAAAGACAUGAAGACCAGAACAAUGUGGGCCAGAGCUGUUUGGAGGGAAGGUGAUGCUGAAAUGGAGGACGUUAUACCAUCCUGUUGGAUGAAGAAUGGCUGUGUUUUAUGGCCUGAUCAAGGGGCAAAAAAAGCCAUCAAAACCUUCAAACAACCUGAUGAUGGAUGGAUGACAUUUCCUCUGUUAAAAGUAAAAUUUCAGUCGGAUAACCGAAAGGAUUGUGACGACUAUGAUUUUACAACCACUGCUGAAUUGAGUUGCCCAGAGGAAGAGAAGAUUUCUGAGAAGAGGCAGCCAAAAAAAAAGUGCUACCCUGACUAUGAAAUGGGUGACUUUCCUGAUGGUGAGGUGAAACAAUGUGAAGAAGCAGCUGUUGCUGAACCCCAAGCUUAUCAGCACACAAAUGAUUUUCCUCCUCUUCCCCAUGUGCCCGAAAAAGUUAAGAAGAAUGUAAAUUCUUUUUGGGAAAAAGGGGGUACUGUUGCCAUCCAUCCUACCCAAAGCAGUCCUUCUGGACCAUUCAUAUACAGCCCCAGCAAGACUCUCUCUCAUGGCAAAGGAAGCCCCAGUAAAAAGUCACUCUUACAUGGCAGAAGAAGCCCCAGCAAGACUCUCUCUCGCGGCAGGAGAAGCCCCAGCAAGACACUCUCACAUGGGAGAGGGAGCCCCAGUAAGAAGUCACUCUCACGCGGCAGAAAAAGCCCCAGCAAGACUCUCUCUCAUGGCAGAGGAAGCCCCAGUAAGAAGUCACUCUCACGCGGCAGAAGAAGCCCCAGCAAGACUCUCUCUCAUGGCAGAGGAAGCCCCAGUAAGAAGUCACUCUCACGCGGCAGAAGAAGCCCCAGCAAGACUCUCUCUCAUGGCAGAGGAAGCCCCAGUAAGAAGUCACUCUCACGCGGCAGAAGAAGCCCCAGCAAGACUCUCUCUCAUGGCAGAGGAAGCCCCAGUAAGAAGUCAGUCUCACGCGGCAGGAGAAGCCCCAGUCGGUCCUCCUCACACAGCAAGCAGCGAAGCCCCAGCCGGUCACUCUCAUCACAUGGCACGAGAAUCCCCAGCCCUUCCCCAUCACUCAUUAAGAAAAGAAGCCCCAAAAAGUCUCUCUCAACACAUGACUGUAAAAGCCACAGCAAAUCUCUCUCAUAUGCCAGAAGAAGCCCCAGUAAGUCUCUCUCAACGCAUCGCAGUAGAAGCCACAGCAAAUCUCUCUCAUAUGACAGAAGCCCCAGCAAGUCCCUCUCACAAAGCUGUAACUGGAGUCCACCUGAAUACCUGUCAGGUAGACAGUUGAGUUCCUCAGACAGUCCGUCAUGCAGCAUGUCUGCAUCUCGUGAUGAAUUCCAAAAUGACAGUAAGAGAAUUCCAGAGGAAAGUUCUUCAAAUGCUGAUUGAUAUAAGAGAUUCUGUAAAAAUCGCAAUCAGAACAAUGGAUGGGACUGCAUUUAAUCUGAAGCAAGCCAACAGUCUGAACGAGUUGCAAGAAUUGGAGUCUCGUUUGCUAGAUAAAAAUGAAAGAGCAGCCUUGGUGAGUUUUAUCUGAUCAAUGCAAUCAAUCCAAUUCUUAAGACAAAUUAUUAUUCCCAAAGAUUGAAGGGUUUGUUCAUCAGUAAAUCUGUUUAUAAUUUAAAGUGAUUGUCUUUUAAGAAGAUUGUGUCUUUUAUUUUAUUGAUAUAAUUUGUUUGCAAUAAUAAGGCUCACAUUUUUUGUUGUUGUAUAUUUUAAUCUUUGGUCAUCAAAUAAAAUCAAACCAAUAAUUUCUUUACCA
ensembl:lncRNA